GGUCUGAGAAGAUGAUCCGCCACACUGGGACUGAGACACGGCCCAGACUCCUACGGGAGGCAGCAGUGGGGAAUACUGGACAAUGGCGGGAACCCUGAUCCAGCCAUGGCGAGUGUGUGAAGAAGGCCUUAUGGUUGUAAAGCACUUUAAGCGAGGAGGAGGCUUCUUCUAAGUCAAUACCUAGGAUGAGUGGACGUUACUCGCAAGAAUAAGCACCGGCUAACUUCUGUGCCAGCAGCCGCGGUAAUACAGAGGGUGCGAGCGUUAAUCGGAUUUACUGGGCGUAAAGCGUGCGUAGGCGGCUUUUUAAGUCGGAUGUGAAAUCCCCGAGCUUAACUUGGGAAUUGCAUUCGAUACUGGGAAGCUAGAGUAUGGGAGAGGAUGGUAGAAUUCCAGGUGUAGCGGUGAAAUGCGUAGAGAUCUGGAGGAAUACCGAUGGCGAAGGCAGCCAUCUGGCCUAAUACUGACGCUGAGGUACGAAAGCAUGGGGAGCAAACAGGAUUAGAUACCCUGGUAGUCCAUGCCGUAAACGAUGUCUACUAGCCGUUGGGGCCUUUGAGGCUUUAGUGGCGCAGCUAACGCGAUAAGUAGACCGCCUGGGGAGUACGGUCGCAAGACUAAAACUCAAAUGAAUUGACGGGGGCCCGCACAAGCGGUGGAGCAUGUGGUUUAAUUCGAUGCAACGCGAAGAACCUUACCUGGUCUUGACAUAGUAAGAACUUUCCAGAGAUGGAUUGGUGCCUUCGGGAACUUACAUACAGGUGCUGCAUGACUGUCGUCAGCUCGUGUCGUGGAGAUGUUGGGUUAAGUCCCGCAACGAGCGCAACCCUUUUCCUUAUUUGCCAGCA
rnacentral:rRNA from 1 species